CAAUAGCGUAUAUUAAAGUUGUUGCGGUAAAAAAGCUCGUAGUUGGAUUUCUACCGAAGAUAGCCGGUCGGGUCUUCGACCUUGUAUCUGGUUUUGUCUUUGGUAUCCUCAUAGGGAACGUUUCUGCGCUUUAUUGCGUGGUGCGGUAUCUAUGACUUUUACUUUGAGGAAAUUAGAGUGUUCACGGCAGGCAAACGCCUUGAAUAUAUUAGCAUGGAAUAAUAACAUAGGAUCUUCGUCCUAUUUUGUUGGUUUCUAGGGCUAAGAUAAUGAUUAAUAGGGAUAGUUGGGGGCAUCUGUAUCAACGCGUCAGAGGUGGAAUUCUUGGAUUGCGUUGCGACAAACUACUGCGAAAGCAUUUGCCAAGGAUGUUUUCAUUGA
rnacentral:rRNA from 1 species